AACGUAGGAGACAAACGUUAUCCGGAGUUACUGGGCGUAAAGGGCGUGUAGGUGGUUUCGUAAGUCUGGCGUGAAAUUUCUCGGCUUAACCGAGGCAGAUCGUCGGAUACUGCGGAACUUGAGGACGGUAGAGGCGUGUGGAAUUCCGGGUGUAGUGGUGAAAUGCGUAGAGAUCCGGAGGAACACCAGUGGCGAAGGCGGCCUCCUGGCUCUUAACUGACGCUGAAGCGCGAAAGCAUGGGGAGCGAACGGG
rnacentral:rRNA from 1 species